AGCUAAUCAAGAAUGAAGAAAGUGCAUCUCCAAGCCCACUGAUUGGUUUUAGCUUGUAAAAUUUUAGAUUUUGGUGACUUUGAUUAUGGUUUUUAUCAUGAUUUUGCUUUUAGCUGGUAAAAUUUUAGAUUUUGCUCUGUGUAACUCCAGUUGAUUGGUUCCGCACUUUUCAUUCUGAAACCAGUUCUCUCAUGAUAAUACCCAUAAUUAAACUCCCAUUAAAAGGGUUAUUCGUUACAGUCUUUUUGUAUAGUUAGAUUGUUAUGAAUUAGGUUGAACUAAUUAACCUUUUUUUGUUACUUGAAGUAUGGAAGAACCAGCCAUUGCUGUUGACAACGGACAAGAAGCCGCCCCUCCGUAUCUUUCAUGACAACUUCAGCAGCCCAAGUGUAGGUGUUGACGUUGGUGAUAUUUUUUGAAGGCUGAUGGUGGUUAGAAGUUAUGUAUAUUGUUGUCUUUUUUGCUCUGGUGCAACCUCUCAGACUCGAUAUUAAGCUUGCUUAGAGAUCAGAAAGAAUAAAGUCAGUUGACUUGCAUCCGGCGAAACCAUGGUAAUGAUCCAUUGUUAUUGUUAUUAUAUUCAUUUGUCUUUAUAAUGU